UACGGAAGGCAGCAGUGGGGAAUAUUGCACAAUGGGCGCAAGCCUGAUGCAGCCAUGCCGCGUGUAUGAAGAAGGCCUUCGGGUUGUAAAGUACUUUCAGCGGGGAGGAAGGCGAUGCGGUUAAUAACCGCGUCGAUUGACGUUACCCGCAGAAGAAGCACCGGCUAACUCCGUGCCAGCAGCCGCGGUAAUACGGAGGGUGCAAGCGUUAAUCGGAAUUACUGGGCGUAAAGCGCACGCAGGCGGUCUGUUAAGUCAGAUGUGAAAUCCCCGGGCUUAACCUGGGAACUGCAUUUUGAAACUGGCAGGCUUGAGUCUUGUAGAGGGGGUAGAAUUCCAGGUGUAGCGGUGAAAUGCGUAGAGAUCUGGAGGAAUACCGGUGGCGAAGGCGGCCCCUGGGACAAAGACUGACGCUCAGGUGCGAAAGCGUGGGGAGCAAACGAGGGAUUAGGAUACC
rnacentral:rRNA from 1 species